rnacentral:rRNA from 1 species
CCAGACUCCUACGGGAGGCAGCAGUGGGGAAUAUUGCACAAUGGGGGAAACCCUGAUGCAGCGACGCCGCGUGAGUGAAGAAGUAAUUCGUUAUGUAAAGCUCUAUCAGCAGGGAAGAAAAUGACGGUACCUGAAGAAGAAGCCCCGGCUAACUACGUGCCAGCAGCCGCGGUAAUACGUAGGGGGCAAGCGUUAUCCGGAUUUACUGGGUGUAAAGGGGGCGCAGACGGCGAUGCAAGCCAGGAGUGAAAGCCCGGGGCCCAACCCCGGGACUGCUCUUGGAACUGCGUGGCUGGAGUGCAGGAGGGGCAGGCGGAAUUCCUGGUGUAGCGGUGAAAUGCGUAGAUAUUAGGAGGAACACCAGUGGCGAAGGCGGUCUGCUGGACAGCAACUGACGCUGAGGCGCGAAAGCGCGGGGAGCAAACAGGAUUAGAUACCCGUGUAA